UACGUAGGGUGCAAGCGUUGUCCGGAAUUAUUGGGCGUAAAGGGCUCGUAGGCGGUCCAUCACGUCGGGAGUGAAAAGCUGGGGCUUAACCCCAGUCCUGCUUCCGAUACGGGUGGACUAGAGGUAGGCAGGGGAGAACGGGAAUUCCUGGUGUAGCGGUGAAAUGCGCAGAUAUCAGGAGGAACACCGGUGGCGAAGGCGGUUCUCUGGGCCUUACCUGACGCUGAGGAGCGAAAAGCGUGGGGAGCAAACAGG
rnacentral:rRNA from 1 species